ACCACACCUGACAGUCUUAGCCAUGCCAGAGAAACCACACGAUUUAGAGCGAGGGGCAUUGAGUCACCUGGGAUCAGGCCACUUGGCAGCUGAGAUCAACCACCCAGAGGGAGAGGACACAGAGAAGCUGUGACUUUGGAACCCUCCAGGACUUCAUCCUAUGUGUUGCUUCCCUUGGCUGAUUUUAAUCCAUAUCCUUUCCCUGUAACCAUAACCGAAGGACAUGGUUUCUAGGCCUGCCAGUUUUUGCUUCCUGGCUGACUCUGGUGCUGGUAACAUCUGUGGUCUAAAUUUACUCAGUUUAUCUCAUGGUCAAAGGUAGUGGCUGAAGAAGAGGAGUGUGAGUUUGUUUUCUUACAAAGCAUAAAGAGGAUUAACGGGCCCCAGCAGCAAAUACAAGUUCCUCUGCUUGCCAACCCUUUUCAUCAGCUGCACUGUGCACCCCAGUGAGCUCUGCCGAACCUGCUGCCAUCUGCCUGGACUUUCUUUCUGCAAGAUGGCUCCUACACGAUGACCAUUGCGAAGACUCAGCUCUAGGUGCCACCUACGUGUGCAGGAACGGCCUAUGGGCCUCAGCCCGCUGGGACACUAUGCCGGAUUGGGCUAGAUGGGCGAUCCCAGAUGUGAUGUCAUUUUGACGCCCGGGACCCCAGACUCCUUUCAUCCCGUUCCUUCCACGCCUGUUUCUCCUUCUUGUCUCUCUCUUCCCGCUGGUAAAGCAGCGCGGAAGAGAGAGCGGACCG